rnacentral:rRNA from 1 species
UACAGAGGGUGCAAGCGUUGUUCGGAAUUAUUGGGCGUAAAGGGAGUGUAGGCGGUCUUUUAAGUCUUCUGUGAAAUCUACGGGCUUAGCCUGUAACGUGCAGAGGAAACUGGAAGGCUUGAGUGUCGGAGAGGAUAGGGGAAUUCCCGGUGUAGAGGUGAAAUUCGUAGAGAUCGGGAGGAACACCAGUGGCGAAGGCGCCUAUCUGGCUGACAACUGACGCUGAGACUCGAAAAGCAUGGGGGAGCAAACAGG